rnacentral:rRNA from 1 species
UACGUAGGGUGCGAGCGUUGUCCGGAAUUAUUGGGCGUAAAGAGCUCGUAGGCGGUCUGUCGCGUCGAAUGUGAAAACCCGGGGCUCAACUCCGGGCUUGCAUUCGAUACGGGCAGGCUAGAGUUCGGUAGGGGAGUCUGGAAUUCCUGGUGUAGCGGUGAAAUGCGCAGAUAUCAGGAGGAACACCGGUGGCGAAGGCGGGACUCUGGGCCGAUACUGACGCUGAGGCGCGAAAGCUAGGGGAGCAAACGGG